rnacentral:rRNA from 1 species
GAAUUACCGGUUUGAACUAAGCCAUGCGAGUCAUUGUAGCAAUACAAGGCAUACGGCUCAGUAACGCGUAGUCAACCUAACCUAUGGACGGGAAUAACCUCGGGAAACUGAGAAUAAUGCCCGAUAGAACAUUAUGCCUGGAAUGGUUUAUGUUCCAAAUGAUUUAUCGCCGUAGGAUGGGACUGCGGCCUAUCAGUUUGUUGGUGAGGUAAUGGCCCACCAAGACUAUUACAGGUACGGGCUCUGAGAGGAGUGGCCCGGAGAUGGGUACUGAGACACGGACCCAGGCCCUAUGGGGCGCAGCAGGCGAGAAAACUUUGCAAUGUGCGAAAGCACGACAAGGUUAAUCCGAGUGGUUUGUGCUAAACGAACCUUUUGUCAGUCCUAGAAACACUAACGAAUAAGGGGUGGGCAAGUUCUGGUGUCAGCCGCCGCGGUAGAACCAGCACCUCAAGUGGUCAGGAUGAUUAUUGGGCCUAAAGCAUCCGUAGCCGGCUCUGUAAGUUUUCGGUUAAAUCUGUACGCUCAACGUACAGGCUGCCGGGAAUACUGCAGAGCUAGGGAGUGGGAGAGGUAGACGGUACUCGAUAGGAAGGGGUAAAAUCCUUUGAUCUAUUGAUGACCACCUGUGGCGAAGGCGGUCUACCAGAACACGUCCGACGGUGAGGGAUGAAAGCUGGGGGAGCAAACCGGAUUAGAUACCCGGGUAGUCCCAGCUGUAAACUAUGCAAACUCAGUGAUGCAUUGGCUUGAUGCCAAUGCAGUGCUGCAGGGAAGCCGUUAAGUUUGCCGCCUGGGAAGUACGUACGCAAGUAUGAAACUUAAAGGAAUUGGCGGGGGAGCACCACAACGGGUGAAGCCUGCGGUUCAAUUGGAUUCAACGCCCGGG